rnacentral:RNase_P_RNA from 1 species
AGUCAUUAGGAAAGUCCGAGCAUCACAGAGCAGGAUAACAGCUAACGGCUGCCGAGGGCGACCUCAGGGCAAGUGCAACAGAAAGAUACCGCCCGAUUUUUCGGGUAAGGAUGGAAAGGCGAGGUAAGAGCUCACCGGGAUGCGUGAGAGCGCAUUGCCAUGUAAACCCUAUCCGAUGCAACGCCGGUUGGUAUAAUGCGUCUUAACGCCUGCUCGGCGGGCGCAUUACAAAGGCGGCUUGAGCCUUGUGGCGACACAAGGACCAGAUAGAUUACCGCACACGACAGAACUCGGCUUAUCGGCUUGCUCAU